AACGAACGCUGGCGGCAGGCUUAACACAUGCAAGUUGAACGGGAUUGUUGAGUAGCUUGCUAUUUAACAUGAGAGUAGCGCACUGGUGAGUAACACGUGGGAACAUACCUAUUGGUGGGGGACAACAGUUGGAAACGACUGCUAAUACCGCAUAAGCCCUGAGGGGGAAAGAUUUAUUGCCGAUAGAUUGGCCCGCGGAAGAUUAGGUAGUAGGUGGGGUAACGGCCUACCUAGCCGACGAUCUAUAGCUGGUUUGAGAGGAUGAUCAGCCACAUUGGAACUGAGACACGGUCCAG
rnacentral:rRNA from 1 species